CGAAGUUGAGUACACUUUAGCCAAGUUAAUCUGGGUGGUUCUGCCACAACCUCUCGACGGGAAUUACCCUUCAGAGCUACACUUAACUGACUACUCUUGGGGCAUGUUGACCGACAGCCAUGGGCUUGGCACACCGAAUUACGGAGGCUAUAGCCACGGGUUUUGUGCACUGAGUUUUGGAAGCUCCGCCAACAGGCUUGGUACAUCAAAU
rnacentral:lncRNA from 1 species